rnacentral:rRNA from 1 species
AUUGAACGCUGGCGGCAGGCCUAGCACAUGCAAGUCGAGCGGAUGAAGGGAGCUUGCUCCUGGAUUCAGCGGCGGACGGGUGAGUAAUGCCUAGGAAUCUGCCUGGUAGUGGGGGAUAACGUCCGGAAACGGGCGCUAAUACCGCAUACGUCCUGAGGGAGAAAGUGGGGGAUCUUCGGACCUCACGCUAUCAGAUGAGCCUAGGUCGGAUUAGCUAGUUGGUGGGGUAAAGGCCUACCAAGGCGACGAUCCGUAACUGGUCUGAGAGGAUGAUCAGUCACACUGGAACUGAGACACGGUCCAGACUCCUACGGGAGGCAGCAGUGGGGAAUAUUGGACAAUGGGCGAAAGCCUGAUCCAGCCAUGCCGCGUGUGUGAAGAAGGUCUUCGGAUUGUAAAGCACUUUAAGUUGGGAGGAAGGGCAGUAAGUUAAUACCUUACUGUUUUGACGUUACCAACAGAAUAAGCACCGGCUAACUUCGUG